rnacentral:lncRNA from 1 species
UAUUAAAAGUUGUCAAGAUCUAUAAUGGGAGAAGAAACUAGUUAGUUGGCUUUGAGUAGAUUUGAAUCUGCUUUAAAAAAGAUUAGACACUCAAAGUACAAGUUGGAUUUAACACAAACCAAGUCUAAGGGGAGUGAAGGAGAGGAAUAUAAUCUGGAGGAAUUCUCACCAAAGAAAGGCUCAGAAAAAGGC